CUCUUACUUUGGAAGGAGAAAGGAUACAAAAUGGAGAGGAUUCACACAUUUUUUUUCAGUAAUGAAAAGGUAGCUUCUUAAUUUCUUUAAAUAAUUCAUCUAAUUUUCAUUUCAGCGGACUGGUGGGUGGCAAGAAAAAUAGCCUAUAUUUUAGUAAUUUUAUAAACUCAGUCUGUUUCAACAAUUUAAACCCUUCCUUGAAGUGAAUGUGGCAGUGAAUCUUCAGUACCAACUUGAAUGCAUCGAGAGACUCCUGCUGCGGUGACUGGGCAUGGAGGUGACACCCUCGUGAGUAGAUCGGGUCACUGAGCGCACAGCGAAAUGUGCCAUUAGGAAGUGGGGCCCCGUUGGGAGAAGUGGGUGGAGAACAGAGCUCUCUCUGGUGCUCUCCUCUGGGCUCUGCUUCCCAUCUGCCAAGAAGCAAGAAGUUUUGCUCCAACACGCUCAUCUGCCAUGAUGUUCCUCUGCCUCCCCUCAGACCCACAGCAAUGGAGCAAGCUGACCGUGGGCGGAAACCUCUGAAACUGUGAGCCAAAGAAACCAUUUCAUUGGAUGUGCCAGGCAUUUUGUCCCGGCGACAGGAAAGCUGACCAAUGUAGCAUCUUAAUCCCUUUAGGUUCCUGUUUCAUUUGUCAUUUUGACCAUCUCUACAGACCUGGAUCACUUGCCUAUGUGAGAUAUCUGGAGCAGCAAAAGAGACUUUGCACCCAACGUGGGAGGUGGCACUGUUCCCCAGAGAGAAACAGAGCCCUGUAGUCACCUGAGCAGCUGAUUGGGCUCAUCCGAAUAGAGGCGAGAACAUCUGUAGCACCUAGGAG
rnacentral:lncRNA from 1 species